rnacentral:lncRNA from 1 species
ACUUUGAAAAAAAUUGAGAAUGGAAAUGGAUGAAGAGAUUCCUAUUACCAAUUUUUUUUUUGGUGAAAAUUUUUAAACUUGGGAUGCGUCUGAAAAAGAAACUGAAACAAUAUCAAGGCACACAUUUCAUACAAACGCAGUUCUAAAAAAAAUUGAUACACCAAAAGCAAAGUUUGCUAACUGUGAACUUCUGUAUACAUGUAUCCAUGGGGGACGUAAUAUAAAAAAAUAAAGAAAUUGUAUGUAAUACCUGUAUGUAUUGUAAAUAUAGAAUAAAUGUCUUCAACUUUUAUUAUUUAGUUAGUCCCAUCGUACAUUGCUGAUUUCCAUGUAACAAUAACGCAAUGUAACCGUAGCCUCAAUAAUUAUUGUUACAUUCGUAAUUAAUCAGGUCCUUACCCAACCAUGCAUUCCGGCAUUUAGUCUCCAAUGUAACAAUAAUAUUUUUAUUAUUGUUACAUUUCCAUGUAACCGUAGCCAGUGCCUAU